AACGAACGCUGGCGGCAUGCCUAACACGCAAGUCGAACGAGACCUUCGGGUCUCGUGGCGCACGGGUGCGUACCGCGUGGGAACCUGCCCUUAGGUUCGGAAUAACUCCCCGAAAGGGGUGCUAAUACCGGAUAAUGUCUUCGGACCAAAGAUUUAUCGCCUUUGGAUGGGCCCGCGUUGGAUUAGCUAGUUGGUAGGGUAAAAGCCUACCAAGGCGACGAUCCAUAGCUGGUCUGAGAGGAUGAUCAGCCACACUGGGACUGAGACACGGCCCAGACUCCUACGGGAGGCAGCAGCGGGGAAUAUUGGACAAUGGGCGAAAGCCUGAUCCAGCAAUGCCGCGUGAGUGAUGAAGGCCUUAGGGUUGUAAAGCUCUUUUACCCGGGAUGAUAAUGACAGUACCGGGAGAAUAAGCGCCGGCUAACUCCGUG
rnacentral:rRNA from 1 species